rnacentral:rRNA from 1 species
UACGUAGGGUGCGAGCGUUGUCCGGAUUUAUUGGGCGUAAAGAGCUUGUAGGCGGCUCGUCACGUCGGGUGUGAAAACUUGCGGCUUAACCGCAAGCCUGCACCCGAUACGGGCGGGCUAGAGUUCGGCAGGGGAGACUGGAAUUCCUGGUGUAGCGGUGGAAUGCGCAGAUAUCAGGAGGAACACCGGUGGCGAAGGCGGGUCUCUGGGCCGAUACUGACGCUGAGGCGCGAAAGCGUGGGGAGCAAACGGG